AGGGGCAUAGUUCAGUUGGUAGAACGGCGGUCUCCAAAACCGCAUGUCGUGGGUUCGAGUCCUGCUGCCCCUGCCA
rnacentral:tRNA from 1 species